rnacentral:rRNA from 1 species
GACGAACGCUGGCGGCGUGCUUAACACAUGCAAGUCGAACGAUGAAGUUAUGACGGAGGUUUCGGCCGACAGAAUAAUGGAAUAGUGGCGGACGGGUGAGUAACGCGUGAGUAACCUGCCUUUCAGAGAGGAAUAACAUUUGGAAACGAAUGGUAAUACCACAUAACAUUACGUUCUCGCAUGGGGAUGUAAUCAAAGAUUUUAUCGCUGAGAGAUGGACUCGCGUCCGAUUAGCUGGAUGGUGAGGUAACGGCCCACCAUGGCGACGAUCGGUAGCCGGACUGAGAGGUUGAACGGCCACAUUGGGACUGAGACACGGCCCAGACUCCUACGGGAGGCAGCAGUGGGGAAUAUUGCACAAUGGGGGAAACCCUGAUGCAGCAACGCCGCGUGAAGGAAGACGGUCUUCGGAUUGUAAACUUUUGUUCUUGGUGAAGAAAAAUGACGGUAGCCAAGGAGGAAGCCACGGCUAACUACGUGCCAGCAGCCGCGGUAAUACGUAGGUGGCAAGCGUUGUCCGGAAUUACUGGGUGUAAAGGGAGCGCAGGCGGGAAAUCAAGUUGGAUGUGAAAUGUCGGGGCUUAACCCCGGAACUGCAUCCAAAACUGAUAUUCUUGAGUGAAGUAGAGGUAGGCGGAAUUCCGAGUGUAGCGGUGAAAUGCGUAGAUAUUCGGAGGAACACCAGUGGCGAAGGCGGCCUACUGGGCUUUAACUGACGCUGAGGCUCGAAAGUGUGGGGAGCAAACAGGAUUAGAUACCCUGGUAGUCCACACUGUAAACGAUGAUUGCUAGGUGUGGGGGGUUCUGACCCCCUUCCGUGCCGGAGUUAACGCAAUAAGCAAAUCCACCUGGGGAGUACGGCCGCAAGGUUGAAAACUCAAAAGGAAAUUGACGGGGGCCCGCACAAGCAGUGGAUUAUGUGGUUUAAUUCGAAGCAACGCGAAGAACCUUACCAGGUCUUGACAUCCGACUAACGAGAUAGAGAUAUGUCAGGUGCCCUACGGGGAAAGUCGAGACAGGUGGUGCAUGGUUGUCGUCAGCUCGUGUCGUGAGAUGUUGGGUUAAGUCCCGCAACGAGCGCAACCCCUGCCAUUAGUUGCUACGCAAGAGCACUCUAAUGGGACCGCUACCGACAAAGGUGGAGGAAGGUGGGGACGACGUCAAAAUCAUCAUGCCCCUUAUGACCUGGGCUACACACGUAAUACAAUGGCCGUUAACAACGAGGAGCAAAACCCGCGAGGGGGAGCAAAAACUUCAAAAAACGGUCUCAGUUCGGAUUGCAGGCUGCAAACUCGCCUGCAUGAAAGUUGGAAUUGCUAGUUAAUCGCGGAUCAGCAUGCCGCGGUGAAAUACGUUUCCCGGGCCU